AUUGAACGCUGGCGGCAUGCCUUACACAUGCAAGUCGAACGGUAACAGGUUAAGCUGACGAGUGGCGAACGGGUGAGUAAUAUAUCGGAACGUGCCCAGUAGUGGGGGAUAGCCCGGCGAAAGCCGGAUUAAUACCGCAUACGACCUUCGGGUGAAAGUGGGGGAUCGCAAGACCUCACGCUCCUGGAGCGGC
rnacentral:rRNA from 1 species